AGACCCAGCCCCCCUACUCUAAGAAUCCUAAGCCAUAUACAGAGGCAAUGUGGAAGAAAAUUGAACUGCUCCGAUCAGUGAUUCCAGAUCAGCUCCCAGCCAAGAGCCGGCAUCAACUGUAAAGCCAUUAGGAUAUCCUGGACUUCUUACGUGGUGACUGCAGUUCUUCUGAAUAAAAGCAGAAGGAAACAGCCUCUUAAAUUCUGGUCUCAGAAGUCCCAGAACAUCACUCCUUGCAUUGUAUUGGGAAAAGAAACUCACAAGGCCAGCGCAGAUCAAAGAGAUGGGAAAAUACAUUCUACCUCUUGAUGGCAGGAGCAGCAAAGACAUGGCAAAAGUCCAUGGUCACAGGGAGGCAUCAUUUAUUGUGGGACCACUUUUGACAAUCUACUACAGAUAAUGUUUUGAUGUUUUGCCAGGAAAGCUUUUAUAAAAGAAGCAG